GAUGAAGAACGUAGUGAAAUGCGAUACGUAAUGUGAAUUGCAGAUUUCAGUGAAUCAUCGAAUCUUUGAACGCACAUUGCGCCCGCUAGUAUUCUGGCGGGCAUGCCUGUUCGAGCGUCAUUUCAACCAUCAAGCCCUGUGCUUGUGUUGGAGCCCUGCGGCUGCCGCAGGCUCCCAAACCCAGUGGCGGGCUCGUCGUCGUACCGAGUGCAGUAAACAUACCACGCUCAGGGCACGCGACGGGUGACCGGCCGUAAAACCCCCCCCCUUCUCAAGGUUGACCUCGGAUCAGGUAGGAAUACCCGCUGAACUUAAGCAUAUCAAUAAGCGGAGGA
rnacentral:misc_RNA from 1 species